rnacentral:rRNA from 1 species
GAUAAACGCUGGCGGCGUGCAUGAGACAUGCAAGUCGAACGAGUGCCGGGCAACCGGUGCUAGUGGCGGACGGCUGAGUAACGCGUUGGUGACCUACCCCGAAGUGGGGAAUAACUGCCCGAAAGGGUGGCUAAUACCGCAUGUGGUCGCACGUUCGUUCGUGCGAGUAAAGCCGUGAGGCGCUUCGGGGGGGGCCUGCGUCCGAUUAGCUCGUUGGUGGGGUAAUGGCUUACCAAGGCGACGAUCGGUAGGUGGUCUGAGAGGACGAUCACCCAGACUGGGACUGAGACACGGCCCAGACUCCUACGGGAGGCAGCAGUCGGGAAUUUUGCUCAAUGGGGGAAACCCUGAAGCAGCAACGCCGCGUGAGGGAUGAAGGCCUUCGGGUUGUAAACCUCUUUUGUCAGGGACGAUGAUGACGGUACCUGGCGAAUAAGCCACGGCUAAUUACGUGCCAGCCGCCGCAGUAACAC